AAAUGGGAGUCUCCUGAGUGAAAGCAUCUGAAGUUCUUCAAAGGGGGAAUCCCACUAUGUGAAGUUUUGAAACUCGAUGACAACAGAGGUCCAUCCCUCCCCCUGGUUAUCGGUGGCCAGCCAGCGUAUACGGUGAGACGCCUCCUGAAGGUUCGACCACGGGGCAGGGGUUUCCAGUACCUGGUUGACUGGGAGGGUUAUGGCCCGGAGGAGAGGUACUGGGUCCCGGCUAAAGACAUCUUGGAUCUGGCCCUCAUCGCCGAUUUCCACCGCCGACACCGUGGUCAGCCAGUCCUCCUGGUUUUGACCCUUGACUGUUUUUGGACUUUGUACCCGCCUGCCUGACCAUUCUGCCAGCCUUGACCAUGAGCUGGUCUGCCACCCACUCUGCACCUCCUGGACUCUGAUCUGGUUUUGACCUUUUUGCCUAUCCACGACCAUUCUCUUGC
ensembl:lncRNA